UAUAAAACUUUUUAUCGGCGUAAAAUGCUACCGGCUGUAAAUUUUAUCGGCGUAAAUGAUUUGUUUCAAUGUUAUAAAAGUUUUUUCAAAAUUACCGUCGAUAAAUUUCUACAGCCGAAACGUUUAUAGUCGAUAAAUGUUCCGGAGGAGCGACCUACGGAAAUUUUUGUUGAAGAUCCAGAGAGAUGAAUAUUUUGUUGUAGAAACCUAUGGUUUAGAACUUUUUAAAGUACUUACCUUGAGUUGAAAACUUAAUACAAAUUCUUUCAUUUUAAUUAAGUGCACAUUUCUUGGUAAAUUUUAAUUUCGAGCGAUUUUUUUGUUAAAAAUUUUGAUACUGAAUUUGUCAUGUAAGAAAUACAUUGGAACCUGAAAAAAAACCAUCAGGAAUUUAAAGUGUUUGAAAAGGAAUUUAAAGUGUUUCCAAAGUUUGUUAUUGAGCUAAUUAGAAAAAGGCUCUUAUGCUAGAUUUAUUAGGACUAUUUAUUGAUCCAAAAAUCAGAUCAACUUUAGUAUUAGACAUACUCAAAGUGGACAGGCAAAAGAAAUUUCUCUAUUUAAAAUUUAUGCCGAGGUUAUUUGAAAUUCGAAAUAUUAAAAUAAGUGGUCAAACUAUAAACAGAAUUAUUAAAGUUCUAAAAAUUACCUUUGAUGCUUGAAUAUGGUAUGAGCUCAUGAAAAUGUAUACUUGAUAUUUAAAAAUUAAUUGAACCACCUCGAUGUUGGCUCAAAUAUUUUUGAUAAAGUCAGAUAACAAAAUACAUCAAAAAAUUUUCUUCUUAUUCAGGAAGUGUUUAGACAUUAUGUACAACUUGUUUCCAGAGUUUCUCAUAUUGUCUAUGGUAUGGAAGCACAUCAAAACUAAUUGUGGAUAAAAUUCUAAUCAGAAAGCAUCAAAAGAGUUUUAUGUUUAAAUGUUUAUUUGUGUCUAAAUAAAUUUUUGUUACAAGAAUUUGAGUUUGUGUAUAAUACUAUUAAUUAUUUAAUA